GACGAACGCUGGCGGCGUGCUUAACACAUGCAAGUCGAACGAUGACGACCGAGCUUGCUCGGUCUGAUUAGUGGCGAACGGGUGAGUAACACGUGAGCAACCUGCCCUUCACUCUGGGAUAACCUCGGGAAAUCGGGGCUAAUACCGGAUAUGAGCUCCUGUCGCAUGGCGGGUGUUGGAAAGUUUUUCGGUGAAGGAUGGGCUCGCGGCCUAUCAGUUUGUUGGUGAGGUAGUGGCUCACCAAGGCGAUGACGGGUAGCCGGCCUGAGAGGGCGACCGGCCACACUGGGACUGAGACACGGCCCAGACUCCUACGGGAGGCAGCAGUGGGGAAUAUUGCACAAUGGGCGAAAGCCUGAUGCAGCGACGCCGCGUGAGGGAUGACGGCCUUCGGGUUGUAAACCUCUUUCAGCAGGGAAGAAGCGAAAGUGACGGUACCUACAGAAGAAGCGCCGGCUAACUACGUG
rnacentral:rRNA from 1 species